AGUGAACGCUGGCGGUAGGCCUAACACAUGCAAGUCGAACGGCAGCACAGUAAGAGCUUGCUCUUACGGGUGGCGAGUGGCGGACGGGUGAGGAAUACAUCGGAAUCUACUUUUUCGUGGGGGAUAACGUAGGGAAACUUACGCUAAUACCGCAUACGACCUACGGGUGAAAGCAGGGGAUCUUCGGACCUUGCGCGAUUGAAUGAGCCGAUGUCGGAUUAGCUAGUUGGCGGGGUAAAGGCCCACCAAGGCGACGUUCCGUAGCUGGUCUGAGAGGAUGAUCAGCCACACUGGAACUGAGACACGGUCCAGACUCCUACGGGAGGCAGCAGUGGGGAAUAUUGGACAAUGGGCGCAAGCCUGAUCCAGCCAUACCGCGUGGGUGAAGAAGGCCUUCGGGUUGUAAAGCCCUUUUGUUGGGAAAGAAAAGCAGCAGGUUAAUACCCCGCUGUUCCGACGGUGCCCAAAGAAUAAGCACCGGCUAACUUCGUG
rnacentral:rRNA from 1 species